rnacentral:sRNA from 1 species
ACCUACUGUGCCAACAUGGCGGCGCCCAGAUCGUAAUUCGGAAAACGUGCACCCUGACUAAUUCGGUUUUCUGUGGCUACAAGAGCAGAGCCCGGUUUUUCGAGUGGCAGUCCCCAGGGCUGCCGAAUCCAGCAGCGAUGGAAAACGGCACCGGGCCCUACGGAGAAGAACGCCCACGUGAAGUCCAGGAGACGACAGUCACCGAGGGGGCUGCCAAAAUCGCCUUUCCCAGCGCCAACGAGGUCUUUUAUAACCCGGUGCAGGAAUUCAAUCGGGACCUGACAUGUGCUGUGAUCACCGAGUUUGCUCGCAUUCAGCUUGGGGCCAAAGGAAUCCAGAUCAAGGUGCCAGGAGAGAAGGACACUCAAAAAGUGGUCGUGGACUUGUCAGAGCAAGAGGAGGAAAAGGUUGAACUGAAAGAGAGUGAAAACCUGGCUUCAGGAGACCAACCUCGCACAGCGGCCGUGGGGGAGAUCUGUGAGGAAGGCCUGCAUGUGCUGGAAGGCCUGGCAGCUUCGGGCCUACGUUCCAUUCGAUUUGCCCUAGAGGUGCCUGGGCUCAGAUCUGUGGUUGCAAACGAUGCCUCUGCCCGGGCUGUGGAUCUCAUACGCCAGAAUGUCCAGCUCAAUGACGUGGCCCACCUGGUACAGCCGAGCCAAGCAGAUGCCCGGAUGCUGAUGUACCAGCACCAGAGGGUGUCGGAGAGGUUUGACGUCAUCGAUCUGGACCCCUAUGGCAGCCCAGCCACCUUCCUGGAUGCAGCUGUGCAGGCUGUGAGUGAAGGAGGUGAGGCGGGGAUGGCACUGGGGUAAGAGCAGGGCUUGGGGUGUUGGAGGGUUCUCACUGCCCAGCCCCUCUCUGCAGGGUUGCUGUGUGUGACCUGCACGGACAUGGCGGUGUUGGCGGGGAACAGCGGGGAGACAUGCUACAGCAAGUACGGGGCCAUGGCCCUCAAGAGCCGGGCCUGCCACGAGAUGGCCCUGAGAAUCGUCCUGCACAGCCUGGACCUCCGCGCCAACUGCUACCAGCGCUUCGUGGUGCCGCUGCUCAGCAUCAGCGCUGACUUCUACGUGCGUGUUUUUGUCCGUGUCUUCACCGGCCAGGCCAAGGUCAAGGCCUCAGCCAGCAAGCAGGCGCUGGUGUUCCAGUGUGUGGGCUGCGGGGCCUUCCACCUUCAGCGCCUCGGCAAAGCGUCAGGAGUCCCCAGCGGCCGGUGAGCAGGGAGGAAGGAGGAGAAGGGGAGUCCCAGGGUUUUCCUCCCUCCCUACCAACCAUCCCUCUCUGUUUAGGGUCAAGUUCUCUGCAGCCUGUGGUCCCCCCGUGACCCCCGAGUGUGAACACUGUGGGCAGCGACACCAGCUUGGUGGACCCGUGUGGGCAGAGCCCAUCCAUGACCUGGAUUUUGUGGGCCGUGUCUUGGAGGCUGUGAGCGCUAACCCCGGCCGCUUCCACACCUCGGAGCGGAUCCGAGGGGUCCUGAGCGUCAUCACUGAGGAGCUCCCGGACGUGCCUCUGUACUACACCCUGGACCAGCUGAGCAGCACCAUCCACUGCAACACGCCAAGCCUCCUGCAGUUGCGGUCGGCCCUCCUCCACGCUGACUUCCGGGUCUCACUCUCCCACGCCUGUAAGAACGCUGUGAAGACGGAUGCCCCUGCCUCCGCCCUCUGGGACAUCAUGCGUUGCUGGGAGAAGGAAUGUCCGGUGAAACGGGAGAGACUAUCAGAGACUAGCCCAGCAUUCCGCAUUCUCAGUGUGGAUCCCAGGCUACAGGCCAACUUCACCAUCCGGGAAGAUGCCAACCCCAGCUCCCGACAGCGAGGACUCAAGCGCUUCCAGGCUAACCCGGAGGCCAACUGGGGUCCCCGGCCUCGUGCCCGGCCAGGGUGAGUGGUGGUAGGGUGGGGGUGGGGCUCAGCCAGAGAAAGAAGGGGUAAAGGGCAGAUGGGGUCCCACCUACUCCUCCCCUCGCACAGGGGCAAGGCGGCCGACGAAGCUAUGGAGGGAAGACGCAGGCUGCUUCAGAACAAGCGGAAGGAGCCGCCGGAAGAUGUGGCCCAGCGGGCUGCCCGGCUCAAGACAUUUCCUUGCAAGAGGUUUAAGGAGGGCACCUGUCAACGCGGGGACCAGUGCUGCUACUCCCACAGCCCCCCAACACCCGGGGUUUCUGCUGAUGCUGCCCCUGACUGUCCAGAGACCUCCAACCAGAGCCCCCCUGGACCUGGGGCUGCCGCUGGGCCAGGCAUAGACUGAACCAAUAAAGAGAUGUCACGUCACCUUC